GUGGAUUAGAUACCCUGGUAGUCCACGCCGUAAACGAUGAGUGCUAAGUGUUGGAGGGUUUCCGCCCUUCAGUGCUGCAGCUAACGCAUUAAGCACUCUGCCUGGGGAGUACGACCGCAAGGUUGAAACUCAAAGGAAUUGACGGGGGCCCGCACAAGCGGUGGAGCAUGUGGUUUAAUUCGAAGCAACGCGAAGAACCUUACCAGGUCUUGACAUCCUUUGACCACUCUAGAGAUAGAGCUUCCCCUUCGGGGGCAAAGUGACAGGUGGUGCACGGCCGUCGACAGCU
rnacentral:rRNA from 1 species